UACGUAGGGUGCAAGCGUUGUCCGGAAUUAUUGGGCGUAAAGAGCUCGUAGGCGGCUUUCUAAGUCAGGGGUGAAAUCCUGGAGCUCAACUCCAGAACUGCCUUUGAUACUGGAGAGCUAGAGUCCGGAAGAGGUGAGUGGAACUGCGAGUGUAGAGGUGAAAUUCGUAGAUAUUCGCAAGAACACCAGUGGCGAAGGCGGCUCACUGGUCCGGUACUGACGCUGAGGUGCGAAAGCGUGGGGAGCAACAGG
rnacentral:rRNA from 1 species